GAAACAAAGGUGUGUUAAAACUGAAGAUAACAGAGUGAAACAGAUCUCUGAUCCUGACACAUAUACAGCUCUUGAGCUCAAGUCCACGACCUCUGACCUCUACAACACACUCACAACCGUUCGUCCCAGACCUCCUGAAGACUCUUGAUCCUAAACAUGAGAAUCCAUCAGUAAAGCCGAGUUCAGACCGCACGAUUUUCAAAGAAGUUGGGUCACUGUUCUUUUCACUCUGCAUGACUAUCUUAGCCAGCAUUCAGUCACUGCUGUGUUCACACUGAACGGUGGAUCGGUGACAGAAGGUUUCACACUGCAUGACUUUACAAUAGGAAGAAUCGCCGACAACUCUGUCCAGCACACAAACUACAUUUCACAACCAAACACCCGCGAGAUGUGACAAGGAAACAACGUGAUAUCACGCGUGCAAGACCGGAGUUUUCACGUGAGACUGCGAUAGCUCCGAUGAAACGUCAAACAGACACGGGUGCUCCUGCUAAAUUUAUACUAAUUUAUCUUCCAUUUCACGAGUCCAAAUAGACCGAGAAGAAAGCCUUUUUCUGAAAUGAAGCAAUGCUUGCUGAUAUUGUGGUCUAUAACUCCUCCCUGAACUCCCGCUGCUCUGUAUCUUGCUCUCUCAUUGGCUGUCGGUCAUCGCCGAUGUAGUUUGUAGUUGGGCGAUUCUCUCAGAUUGCGUCUGUGCACAUUCACAUUGCGUGAUUGUCACUCGCAUGAACGAGCACAGAUUAGCCUGUGAUUUCGGGCAUUUGUCGGCGAUUUCUCAAAACCUGUCGGCGAGUCAAAAACUGGGCUAAAAUCAUGCAGUCUGAACUCGGCUUAAGUCUGAACUGCAGCUCCUAUAAAGAUAAUCAAGAAAACUCUCUUCAGUUCUAGUUUGAUUGUUUUAUCAAGCUUGUGGGAGGUUUAUAAUGUUGUUGAUGAACUUAAGUCAGUCGUUCUUCUUCUUGUUUGUUCAGGCUACGUUCACACUGCAGGCUGAAACGACCCUAUUCCGAUUUUUUGGCCCCUAUGCGACCUGUAUCUGAUCUUUUCAUGACAGUCUGAACGACACAGAUCCUAUCUUUUCAAAUGUGACCCAGGUCACUUGGGUAUGUGGACCUAAAUCCGUUACGUAUCCGAUCUUUUGAAAUGCGACCUCCGUCUGAACAGCCAGGCCACAUGUAUCCGACCCGUACGUCAUUGAUACGCUACAAACGUCAUAAUUCUGCGUUGAAGUAGUUGGGAACGAGAAGAGCCACUCACAUCAGCAUCCCACCACUCCUGCCUGCGACUCCGCACCCACACGUUUCUCUGUACCGACUUUGCUAACACUGCUCCACAAAACGCCAUAGCCAAA